UUCAGGAGGCAAUGCUGCAGUCAACUUUGCAGCGCCAUGGAAGCACAUCACCAGCAACCAAGAGGCUCCGAGUGAGUGCAGAGAAGUUUUCCUCCUCUCCGCCCCGCGUCCGAGACUCAUCUGUGGGAGCAGGCUCAUACACCCGGUCCAGCUGUUGGUGGCAUGUUGGAACAUGCCUUGACUUGUUGUACUGCCUGAGUGAAGCAGAGAGACACAGUCACAGGGAGAGAGAGAGGGGGAAAAGAGAAGAGGCUUGUGGUCAACAGUUUGCCAGUGUGAAGUGACCCACACAAUGAGAGAGCCCUGCUGCACCUGUGGACAGACUCCUGUGGAUGUCAACGCCGGAGUGCACUCGCGUGGAUGGAGGAGCUCCACGGCUGCCUCGCUGCUUGAAGUUGCCUUCCAACAACCAACACCACCAGGAAGCCGGGCAGGAAAAGUGUGAGAGCGCCGGUAGUGCCAGACUCACGGGUGGAGGUGUACGGCAAAUACCAGUCAGGGUCCCGCUGGGGAGGGACAGACGGUUGGAUGCGCCUGCUGUGGGUCUUUCUCUGGCAGUGUCUUAGCUGGUUGUUGUGAGGAGUGAGAACGAAGCAAUCAGCAAGUAUACUGCCGCAGAAAUUCUUCGCACUAAGAGGCCCUGGGAUCAGAGCCAUCGCGAGAGGGAGGACAAGAACCUGAAUCAGCAUUGUAGCCGACACGGGGGCCUUACAUGUGCGAUGACACUGCAGGAUUUAACAAGAGCUGAGGACCUGAUACAGAAUUUACUUUUUUUGUUAACAAUCUACAAUAUUUACAAUUGGAUCAAAGAGUCAAACUUCUACUUGUUGUACGUUCACAGUCCUCUGCUGCCACCUUGUGACAGAAAUCAACAUCUCAACGUGCUUUUUGUUCAUUUAACACUGCAGCAAUCUGUAAAACCUACGUUGAUGUCUUUUUAUUUUUAUUGAGACAAUCUAAAAUCUCUUUCAAUCAGAAAACAUGGCUCGGCUUACCAUGAUUUCAGAUUCAUACUUUUCAGUUGCAAAUGCAUGUUGUUUUUGUCACCAAAUAUAAUUCUGCUUCAUGAAUUGUAAAUACUUUUUGUGGUUGAUUCCAAAUGUAUUCGUUACAGCCUUAUAAUUAAAAAAAAAAAAAGCAGUAAAUAAAAGUGACAUAACUUAAAGAAUUAGUAAUUGGUGUGGUUUUGUUUUCACAGUACACAUGCACUUUGUAACUAUGUAGAAAUAUUGUUGUGUAAACACUUUGCGCUGUGUGAAAGCAGCACUUUGAGACCCUUGAAACAUAAUGUUGCCAUGCGAACAGAGGAGACCUAAUGAGUGCAGAUGAGGCAGAAGGGCCUGUAAGCCAGGUGCACACUAAUUUAGGUUUUCACAGACACACACACACACACACACACACAGUAAACGCAGACGCAGCUGAAUGUACAGUGUGCUCCUGAUUUUAGCUCUGAAAUAGA